rnacentral:lncRNA from 1 species
GCACCCCACCUAGAGACCUUACCCUUGGCUACCUGGAAGCCCCUGAGAUGAUAAGGGGCCUUUGUUACCCACUCUCCCUUCCUGGAAUCUUCACCCAUCCUAUGUAAGUAUUCCAGACCUCUGUCCAUGUACCCGUAGCCUCCCUGGCCUCAGAGCCUGUAGAAGCCCAACCACAGCCAUUGGAUCCCUGGCUCCCUCGGACCUGAGCAUUGUUGAGCUGAAUUUUUAGAUGCCCGGGGAUGGUUCUGUAGAACCCAGAUUCUAGAAGUAGACUAGAAGUACUGUUCAGUGGUCUGACAGAGAGGCGGUGCUUCUCCCACAGGAACUGUGACAGAUCCCAAUGCGCCACUAAGUGACUUCCAACCACCUCUUUACAUUCCAUUUGGUACCAAGGAGAGAGUGAGCAUUUGCUCAUUUGUUUGUGUUUUCAUUGCCGAUAACUUGUAGGAUGGAGUCCGUUGUCAUGUUAGAUUUGCCCUUUGUCUUCUGCAACUCUGCUCAUUGUUACAUGGAGGCAAUACUCUCUAUUUUUGAUGUGUAUGAGCUCAAAGUAUCACUAAUAACUAACCGUUUUGUCUUUUGUAUGUAUUACAAGUGCCUUCCCACUGUUAUUUGUCUUUCAGCUGUGUUCCUUUCUUGUACAAAUGUUGUCUUUCUCUGAUUGUAAAAGUAAAUGUGGGGUUUUUUUAAAGCAUAGAAAACCUGGAAAAUACAGAAGAGCACAAAGCUAAAGAAAUAAACGUUGCCAGCCGCAUCCCUGGAGAUGCACGCUUCCUGUGCCUCAUUGUGUUCUGUUGAGUCUCUUGUGUGCGUCUGCUCUUUUUAUUUUUUAAACAAAAGUGGGUCACUGGUCACAUAUGUGGUUCUGUAUCCUAAUGUUUCCACUUAACACUAGUGAACUGGAAAGACAGAUACACUGAAACAACAGUGUGGUCAUAUCUGUAACAGGGAACUUGGGGAUACUUUGUUUCUUGUCAACUCCCACUUUCUGUCAACUUCCAAAAAGCCACUGCUGCUGACAUGAUUAAGUAGUUGCAGGAAUUGCUAUUUUCUGUGUAACAAAUACACCUGGUGAGAAGAGUUCAUGGCCUGGGCCUACACCUGCCCUAUCCCAGCGCUGGCCUCAGAACAGUGGAUUCUAUCUCCGUUCCCUAGCACAGCUCUAUUCUCUAGUCCCUUCAGUUCCUAGGGUUGGAUGCUCAUUCUGCUGAAAGCAAUGAAGCUGGGAUCUGGACUCUGUGAGAGGGCGGCCAUGCCUGCUGUAGCAUGGAGCCAGGAGCCUCUGUGUAUGGUGAGAUUGAAGAUCCUCAAGCCUUGCGACAGAGUCUAGGGCUUACACAACUCUCACUCACACCCUGCCUCCUGGCUAAGCCCAGCCUUCUGUGUCUAAGAAGUUCUUCCAAAGGUCUAACUCCAGUUCACCAACAGGACCUCUGGGCCUCAGGGUGCUGGGCCAGGAUGCUAGGUGAGAAAGUGAUUUGUCAGCAAUGGGUGCAUUUGAAAAGCAUAAUGACCAGGGGUGGCGCCCCACUCAGUGUGUGGCUGUUAACAUCUCUUUACAGUCUCUUCCUGUUUCCAAGUGUCCUGCCUACUGUCUGUCCAAAGUCUCUUUAGACUGAGUACAUCUGUGGGUGUGCUUGGGCUCUGUGACUACGGAACAGAUAUGAAACUUUCUGUAUGGUGCCACUCUUUUUAAUUGAAAAUUGUUUUUUUUUUCCACACAAUAUAUUCUAGUCAUGGUUUCCCCUCCCAUCUCCUCUUAGAUCUUUCCCACCUCUCCACCCACCCAACUCCACACCUCCUUUUUCUCUGUCUUUACAAAAUGAUCAGGCAAAUUAAAAAACAAAACACUGUUAAAAGGAGUAUGUGUGGGUGCUGGCCAUGAAAGGCCAGUUGGGCAGUAGGCUAAAUCCUCAAAAAAAAAAAAAAAAAA